rnacentral:lncRNA from 1 species
GUGACGAAAGGGGGUGCGCGGAGCACKGGGGGCCGGCUGCUCCCCGCCACACCUCGGAGCUGGGGGUCGGCAGUGCGGUCGGGGGCGAACGCGAUCGCGGAGGGGAACAGGGCUCUCCGCACGGUGUAUGCGUCCUGCCGCGGUCUGCUUUUCUCGGGCUCGAGUUAAGUCGCUCUAAAACACCAUGUUGAGCCAAGAAGAAGCUGUGGGUAUCAGCUAAACAGCCAACGAAGAUGUUCACAGAAUAAAUGAGAGAGAAAAUGCAGUGAUUUGGGGUAACAAGGAGGAAGUAGGAACAAGGCAUAUUCUAACAGCGGCGCAGAUAGAGAAGGGAAGGACACACAGAAUAAAAGAGGUGACAGUGAAUUCUCUCAAUUCUCAGCAUUUCUGCUGGUGCCUUCUGCAGGGGAACACAGGGGAAACUCUUAGCAGACAGUGGCUGCCAGGACGAAGCCAAAAGGGCCAGUGGCAGAUGGAUCGUGAUGCUUGCUCUCAGGGUUUAAAUGGUCUGGUAGAACAUCUUACCCCAUGUGCAGGCUUUUAUACUUCUGGGGACAAUGUAGUCCCUGGAGCCUGGGGAAAAACAGAGUAUGAUCCAAGGGCUGCGUGCUGGGCUGGGCAUCAGGAAGGCCAGGGUCUGGUACUGCCUGCAGGGAGGGAUCCUGGAGCAAGUCUCUUCUGGCUGUUAUUGGCCAUAAGAGUUUGAAUCUGAGCCAGACAAACACUUAGUCACCUUCAGAAAUGUGGUGGGGCAUCUGGGCCCUCCACUCCCACAUGCACAUUUUCUGGAAGCUACUGUUUAAG